CUGAGUUGAUGAUGAUGAAGAGUUAUCCCUGUCUGAAGGCAGAGAAUGGCCUUCCCAUGUGGAGCUUGGAUGUCUGAAACUCAG